UUUUCAAAUGCAAUCAAGGCUUCCUAUAUACGGGCGGAAAGGCGGCUUCCUCCGCUGAGAAAGCUGAAGGUCCUUACCUGCGGCGUACGGACUGCUCUGGUGGUCCCUGAGGGUGCCCAGGCUGCAGGAUCCCGGCGUGAGGGAAGGGCAGCCGGACGUGGCCCCAAAAGUGGUCCUUAUCGGGUUAUACUGGAAGCCACUGGCCUGGCUGCAGGAACUGAAGUCAGCAUAGGCUGAAGCCAGGCUCGAGGUGUCCAUCCCAGCCAUACAGGACUCGUAGGCAGAGGAAUUGAGGGUUCUCACAACCAAUUGAAAGAGAAUAAAACAUUCUCUUGCUUCAUAACCAAAGUGCUGCUCACACUUACAGCAACCUUUGGAAGGGGAAUCCUGGCUAUUGAUGUCCCUGGAAAGAGAGUGGUAGAAGAAAAGAAAUUGAAGACAUGGAAGAAAGAUGAAAACGCUGGCUACUAAAUACCUAUGUGUGGUUACUGAGUGUGGUAUACUUGGACACCGAGCUCCCCCACCCAUCAGAUGUCACAAAGAGUCCUCUUACUCUUGGAUAAUUUCAAAUCAAACUGACCUCCCCAGAUAUUGAGAAGCAAAAUAAUCAACAACAACAAAACCUGCCUUGUAAAUAUGAUUUACAUUGAUUAUGUGGGGAUGUUCUGAAGGGAGAAGAAAGGAGCUGUCACCAACUCAAAGCAACAUGAGAGCAAGAAUCAUGCUAAUUUUGCCGUCUGCCUCUCCUAUGUUCUUGGUGCCAAGUCUGUAGUUGAGGUUCAUUUACCUGAAUGAGUGACUAAAGCUUUAUAACUUGAACACUUUGAAUACAUAGAUCUAGCAUAAAUAAGCCUAUUAAUGGCAACUUUGACCUGUCAAGCAAUAACCAAAUGAUUUGUGUGCCUGC
ensembl:lncRNA PHOX2B-AS1 PHOX2B antisense RNA 1